rnacentral:rRNA from 1 species
CUCUGUGACUCCUACGGGGAGGCAGCAGUGGGGAAUAUUGCACAAUGGGCGCAAGCCUGAUGCAGCCAUGCCGCGUGUGUGAAGAAGGCCUUCGGGUUGUAAAAGCACUUUUCAGUUGUGUAGGAAGGUGGUGUCGUUAAUAGCUGCAUUAUUUGACGUUAGCGACAGAAGAAGCACCGGCUAACUCCGUGCCAGCAGCCGCGGUAAUACGGAGGGUGCGAGCGUUAAUCGGAAUUACUGGGCGUAAAGCGCAUGCAGGUGGUUUGUUAAGUCAGAUGUGAAAGCCCGGGGCUCAACCUCGGAAUUGCAUUUGAAACUGGCAGACUAGAGUACUGUAGAGGGGGUAGAAUUUCAGGUGUAGCGGUGAAAUGCGUAGAGAUCUGAAGGAAUACCGGUGGCGAAGGCGGCCCCCUGGACAGAUACUGACACUCAGAUGCGAAAGCGUGGGGAGCAAACAGGAUUAGAUACCCUGGUAG